rnacentral:lncRNA from 1 species
UUAGAUGAGCUAUGGAUAUGGAAUCAUAUCAAAUUCCAUUGCUUAUCUAAAUAUAUCUCAAUCAAAAAAUGAUGAUUCAGUUGAUGAUACAUUAGAAAUCUCUUUCUAAUUAUCAUCCUGCUUUGGCCAAAGAUUUUCAGAAUCAUCAAUCUAUGAGAUCACAUAGGAUGUUCGCUUCCCUUAUUAGAAGUGAUUGAUUCUUUAUUUACCACUU